UACGAAGGGGGCAAGCGUUGUUCGGAAUUACUGGGCGUAAAGGGCGCGUAGGCGGCUUAUCAAGUCAGGCGUGAAAUUCCCGGGCUCAACCUGGGGGCUGCGCUUGAUACUGAUGAGCUUGAAUGCGGGAGAGGAUAGUGGAAUUCCCAGUGUAGAGGUGAAAUUCGUAGAUAUCAGGAGGAACACCGGUGGCGAAGGCGGGUCUCUGGGCCGUAACUGACGCUGAGGAGCGAAAGCAUGGGGAGCGAACAGG
rnacentral:rRNA from 1 species